UCUUUAAAUAGGGACUAGUAUCAACGGCACCACGAGGGCUGCACUGUCUCCUUUCUCCAAUCAGUGAAACUGAUCCCCCCGUGAAGAAGCGGGGAUAUAAAAAUAAGACGAGAAGACCCCAUGGAGCUUUAAAUUUCACAGCAACUCUGACAUGCAAUCCUCUACAACUGACAGAAUAUGCCCGUCGAUUUUAGGUUGGGGCGACCACGGAGUAAAAAUUAACCUCCACGACGAAAAGAACUAAAUCUUUAUCCUAGAGCUACCCCUCUAAGAACUAGCACACUAACGAACCAUGACCCAAUAAUUGAUCAACGGACCAAGUUACCCUGGGGAUAACAGCGCAAUCUACUUCAAGAGCUCAUAUCGACAAGUAGGCUUACGACCUCGAUGUUGGAUCAGGGUAUCCCAGUGGUGCAGCCGCUACUAACGGUUC
rnacentral:rRNA from 1 species